rnacentral:tRNA from 1 species
UCCCUGGUGGCUCAGAUGGUAAAGCAUCUGCCUGCAAAACAGGAGACCCAGGUUCAAUCCCUGGGUUGAGAA